rnacentral:rRNA from 1 species
AGAGCGCAUGGCGAAUGCCUUGGCACUAGAAGCUGAUGAAGGACGUGACGAACAACGAUAUGCUUCGGGGAGCUGUAAGUAGCUUUGAUCCGGAGAUUUCCGAAUGGGGAAACCCACUGAUAGUAAUGUGUCAGUAUCAUACAGUGAAUUCAUAGCUGUAUGAGAUGAACCCGGUGAACUGAAACAUCUUAGUAGCCGGAGGAGUAGAAAGAAAAAUCGAUUCCCUUAGUAGUGGCGAGCGAAAGGGGAACAGCCCAAACCAAUCUUCGGAUUGGGGUUGUAGGACUUCUCAUUAAGAGUAAAAAAUUCAUAAUAUAGUUGAAGUAUCUGGAAAGAUAUACCGUAGUAGGUGAUAGUCCUGUAAAUGAAAUAUUAUGAACUCUGAGGAGUAUCCUGAGUAGGGCGGGGCACGUGAAACCCUGUCUGAAUCUGCGGGGACCAUCCCGUAAGGCUAAAUACUCUCUAGUGACCGAUAGUGAACAAGUACCGUGAGGGAAAGGUGAAAAGAACCCCGGGAGGGGAGUGAAAUAGAAUACUGAAACCAUGUGCUUACAAGAAGUCAAAGCCCGUUAAUGGGUGAUGGCGUGCCUUUUGCAGAAUGAACCGGCGAGUUAUUGUUGCAUGCAAGGUUAAGUUGAAGAGACGGAGCCGAAGCGAAAGCGAGUCUGAAUAGGGCGCUUUAGUAUGCAGUAAUAGACCCGAAACCGAGUGAUCUAUCCUUGAGCAGGUUGAAGUGGUGGUAACACACCAUGGAGGACCGAACCGACGUCUGUGAAAAAGGCGCGGAUGACUUGAGGAUAGCGGAGAAAUUCCAAUCGAACUCGGAGAUAGCUGGUUCUCCCCGAAAUAGGUUUAGGCCUAGCCUUCUAAUUAGUUACCUGGAGGUAGAGCACUGAAUGUAAGAUGGCGGCGUAUAGCUGUACUGAUUGCAAUCAAACUCCGAAUGCCAGGCUAAUAUGUAGAGGAGUCAGUGUAUGGGUGAUAACGUCCAUACGCGAGAGGAAAACAAUCCAGACCGCCAGUUAAGGUCCCAAAAUUUAUGCUAAGUGGGAAAGGAUGUGGAGUCGCUAGAACAGCUAGGAGGUUGGCUUAGAAGCAGCCAUCCUUUAAAGAGUGCGUAAUAGCUCACUAGUCGAGUGGCACUGCGCCGAAGAUGUACCGGGGCUAAAGCAUAAUACCGAAACUGCGGAUUACUUUGUAAUGGUAGGGGAGCGUUCUAAGUGCGCUGAAGGUUGAUCGUAAGGACAGCUGGAGCGCUUAGAAGUGAGAAUGCCGGUAUGAGUAGCGCAAGACGUGUGAGAAUCACGUCCACCGUUUGCCCAAGGUUUCCUGGGUCAAGUUCGUCUUCCCAGGGUUAGUCGGGUCCUAAGGCGAGGCCGAAAGGCGUAGUCGAUGGACAACAGGUUGAUAUUCCUGUACCACCUAUAUGACUGAUGGAGUGACGAAGGAGGCUAACAAGUGCCUGUUAUUGGAUUCAGGUCUAAGCACAAAGGCUUAUAUGUAGGGAAAUCCGCAUAUUGGUAGGCUGAAGUGUGAUGGCGAAGAGAGUAGCAAUACAAUCGAAGACUUGUGACGCCAAACUUCCAAGAAAAGCUUCUAGGGUUAAUCGUAUAGGUGCCCGUACCGAGAACCGCCACAGGUGGGCAAGGAGAGUAUCCUAAGGUGAGCGAGAGAACUAUGGUUAAGGAACUCGGCAAAAUAACCCCGUAACUUAGGGAGAAGGGGUGGUCUAGCGAUAGACCCGCAGUAAAGACGUCCAGGCAACUGUUUACCAAAAACACAGGUCUCUGCAAAGCCGUAAGGCGAAGUAUAGGGGCUGACACCUGCCCAGUGCUGGAAGGUUAAUAGGAGAGGUUAGUAUUUGACUUUGUCAACAUGAUACGAAGCUUUGAAUUGAAGCCCCAGUGAACGGCGGCCGUAACUAUAACGGUCCUAAGGUAGCGAAAUUCCUUGUCAGGUAAGUUCUGACCCGCACGAAAGGUGUAAUGAUCUGGAUACUGUCUCAACCAUAGGCUCGGUGAAAUUUUAAUACCUGUGAAAAUGCAGGUUACCCGCGACAGGACGGAAAGACCCCAUGGAGCUUUACUGUAGCUUGAUAUUGAAAUUUGAUAUUCUUUGUAGAGGAUAGGUGGUAGACUUUGAUACUAGGACGCCAGUUCUAGUGGAGUCGCCCUUGGAAUACCACCCUUGGAAUAUUAGAUUUCUAACCUAGAACCGUGAUCCGGUUCGGGGACAGUGUCUGGUGGGCAGUUUGACUGGGGCGGUCGC